CGGGAAAUGUAAAAAGGAACCAGAGUUUGUCCUUGUCCUUAAAGAAGCUUUCCACCCUGAGUCCGGGAGGCAGAUAUGUAAACAAACCAUGAGGUGUGAAUCAAGAGAUAGGGCUCCAGGGUGACACCUGGGUCCUCUUUAGGAUACCCCGUCCCCGCUGCAAGUCCCUACCUCCGUGCACCUCGACUGGACGUUUGGAAGGAAAAGCACCACCGAGGACAAGAGAACAAGAACUCGGGUCGACAACAACGUGCCGAGGAAAAUUUGCAAGGGGUCAGCUCCUCGAAACCUCCCGGCAGAGAAAUGGGAAAUCACGGAUCAUGAGAAAUGGGUCAGAGCCUCUCCAUUUACUGUACAGUAGUAACAUAAGCAACUGACCUUCCGAAGAGUGUUUUAUGGUAUUUUUCAUGGCAAGGCUGUCACUCUUGGGUCCGCUAACCCUCACUUUGCUACUUCUAUUCAUACGCUUUAUAUGUAUUUAUUUGUUGAGUUAUAUAUUUUAGCUGAACUUGGAAUGACAGUUAUUUUUAAGAGGCUGCCAACAUGGGUCCGGAGGAACCUCAGAAACCUGGCUCACGGUGGCUCUGGCAUAAGGAACCUCGACAGCCAAAACCAACCAGAAAGCUGAUGAGAUCCAGGUUUCCAAAACACUAGCGGAAAGGCAUCCUUCUCUCUGCUUUCUUCCAUAAAGCUUUUGCAAAAAAAAAAAAAAGUUAUUUACCAAAGAGGACUCCUUGUGUCACGCAACCAACCACUUCCUUGAGUGUUCAGAGUGUAAAUCUAGAGGUCCGUGUGUCGGGGUCUAGAUGCAAGCAGGGUGCAGCUUUCUUCAGCUGGGUCUGCGACAAGGUGUGAGACAGGUGUGGUACCCCGGGGGGCCAGCACCCCCGAUGCAUCCAACACGGCUGCCUUCUGAAUUCGCGGCCCUGAGUUUCUCCACUGACAGCCUUCCAAAACUAAUUGAGGCUGUUAGGAUAAAGAGGGCAGUU